CUUUAUCUCUUCCUUACUGUGUGCACACGAUUGCACUGGGAGUUGUCAAUAUAACAAGUGGAUAAAACAGCCUCUCCUCUCAAGAAGCUUAUAAACCAGUAGAGGAAAAAUAGCAGCUUCACUAUAUGUGGAAAUAGCGGCUUCACUCUUAGAGUCAAUUGUCAUAAUUCCCUAAACUAGAAAAGAAGAAGGCAAUGAUUCUUACAGGGGUAAUCUGUAAAGGCUUUAUCAGGAAAGAUUUUUGCUAGGCCCCGAAGGAUCGACACUGUUUCAGUAAGUGAAGAUAGAGGAGAGAGCACUCCAGGGAAAGGUGUUGCCAGGAGCAAAGCACCUGUCCGUGACCGUCUAUUGUUUGUGGAAACCCAGACACUGUGGGUCAAUGCUCCCUCUCAGGUUGUUUGCCAGCAGCUAAGGGAAGGUCUAGGUCCUUUCUUCCAGAGCUUCUGUUCAGGGCAGAUUGUGAUGAAGGGAACCACUUUGGUGACUGAUGGGGCUUAAGAUCUCUCUGCAAGGCUACUUUCAAGUGAAUUUACAAACCAAGGGUGCAAAAUACAGCAGGAAUCCAGAACAUAAAAGGGAAAAAAUGAGCUAUAGGAAGAAAGAAAGGCACUUUGGCUUCAGGAGAUGUACAGCAAUAGAAAUGAGUCAACAGGAGUGAUCAUCAUCCAAGAGAUCAUCAUCUCUUCCUCAUCCUCCCCCUUUUUCUCCUUAUCCUCAUUCUCUUAUCUUCAUUAUCAUUAUGAUCACUGGCUCAUACUGAGAUGCAUGAAAAGGAGAGAAGGAAGGAAAGAAGGAAGGUGCAAGAGAGGAGAGUCUCCUGAAUUGUCCCUGGAUCUGAAUACCAUCCUAGGUGGGGGAUUUAGCCUUUUUCACCAUCCCUACCUCUAUACCUCUGGACUCUUUUUAAGAUCUGUCAAUAUUCACACACAUCAAAAUAAGUGAGAUUGGGAGGAUAGAAUAGACCAUCUUUUACUUCUAACAUAUUUAAUGGUUUCUGUAAGAGUCAAGGAGCUGCUUUCAAAUCAGCUUGUUGGUGGGUAUAAAGGAAAAGAAUCAACUGGCUUUGGCCAAAGUAAUGAAAAGGUCAACCAGUUUUCUUUCACCUUUGUUCUCUUACUAAUCAUGGGAAGGACACAGAUGGCUCCAGUUUAACUUCCUCUGUUCUCACAGGUGCCGGUCCAUUAACUUCCAAGAGAAUCCCAUGAGUAUAUAGUAUGGUUUCAAAAGAAUGGAAGCUAGAAUAACACAAAUGUGAACUCUAGUCCCAAUUCUUCUAAUUCCUGGGUUGUUGAUCCCAAACACAUUAUAUAAAGUUAUCUGUUCUUCCAUUUCCUCUAAUAAAAUAAGGCUAACAUACAGGUUAUGUGAUUCUUGUAAGAGAAAAAUAUAAUAAAAAAUUUUAUAGCUGUAAAUGCUAUAAAACAUCUAUACAUUUAUUUCCUGUUUAUUCUUGGGUUUUCUUAUCUAAUCUAUUCACACACGUUUGCUUAUUCAAAAAUAAAAAUUAUUUCUCACAGAUGAAUAAUAAAA
rnacentral:lncRNA from 1 species